GCACUAUGAUUGGAUACGGCGUCAAGGGGUGUGACAGCCUCCAGACACGGCCGUUGGCGAGCACUCCAUUCUAUCCCUCCUCCCCUUCUCGCUCCCUCACUGAAGGGGCAGAGUCCUCUUCCCCGUAGCCAGUCCUGAUUGGCUGGCCGCACCCGUCCCGCGACGGCGAUUGCUCCGCGAGGUUUCUGACCCCUCUCCCUCCUCCUGGAGAGACUACGGCGGCUCCGAGGAGGGGGAGGGAGGGGAAGGCCGCUCCCGUCAGUCAGACGGCUGUGGGAAUCGCCGGGAGCGGAUGGCGGCUGCUAUAGUAGCCCCACCCGCCGUCGGGGGCGAGGAGACUGCGGCAGCAGCCCGGGUUCCGGGAUCUACGGGGUUGCCGGGGAGCCGUAGCGCCGAGCGGGCUCUAGAGGAGGCCGUAGCCACUGGGACACUGAACCUGUCGAACCGGCGUCUGAAGCAAUUCCCCAGGGGCACGGCCAGUGGCUACGACCUGUCGGAUAUCACCCAAGCUGACCUAUCCAGGAACCGGUUCCCUGAGGUGCCAGAGGCAGCAUGCCAGCUGAUGUCCCUAGAGGGUCUGAGCCUCUAUCACAACUGUCUUCGGUGCCUGAACCCAGCGCUGGGGAACCUCACAGCCCUUACUUACCUCAACCUAAGCCGGAACCAACUGUUGUCGCUGCCCCCCUAUAUCUGCCAGCUGCCCCUUCGUGUGCUCAUUGUCAGCAACAACAAACUGGGAGCUCUGCCUCCUGACAUUGGGGCCUUGGGAAGCCUAAGACAGCUUGAUGUAAGCAGCAAUGAGCUUCAGUCCCUUCCCCUCCAGUUGGGUAACCUCCACUCCUUGAGGGACCUUAAUGUUCGGAGAAACCAGCUCAGCACUCUGCCUGAUGAACUGGGAGACCUUCCUCUUGUUCGUUUGGACUUCUCCUGUAAUCAUGUGUCUCGAAUCCCAAGCUCUUUCCGCCGCCUCAGGCACCUCCAGGUCAUUCUGCUAGAUAGCAACCCCCUUCAGAGCCCUCCUGCACAGAUCUGCCUGAAGGGAAAGCUUCAUAUCUUCAAGUAUCUUUCUUCAGAGGCUGGAGAACGGGGAGUCUCUGGAUUUGGGGACCUGCCACCCUCUCACCCAUCAGGUUUCAGUCCCUGCCCUGUGGAGGAUUUGUUCCCUGGUCGCCGGUAUGAUGGUGGGCUGGACUCUGGUUUCCACAGUGUUGACAGUGGAAGUAAGAGGUGGUCUGGAAAUGAGCUGACAGAUGAAUUUUCGGAACUAUCUUUCCGUAUCUCAGAAUUGACCCAAGAACCUCGGGGGCCUAGGGAACAGAGAGAGGAUCGAAAUGGUGAUGGGGACCCUGAACAAAUUGACUUCAUAGACAGCAGUGUACCUGGGGAGGAAGAGGACAGAGAUGCUGUUGAGGAGCAGCAGCCAGAAGAGCACAAGACCUCAGAAAUAGUAGAAAGACCCCCUAGUGCCAGGUUGGUGGAGCCAGCAGGGGAAGAACGUCGUCGGCCAGACACUCUGCAGCUGUGGCAGGAUCGAGAGAGGAGGCAACAGCAAAAGGAGAGUUUCCUGAAACUGGCAAACAAGGGUAGUGGGGGAAGUGCUACCAACAUAGCCUCCAACAACAAUUCCUCCAAGCGAAGUGGUCCCCAGCCUGGAGUUCCUGUACCCAGCUCUACUUCCCCAGACCUCCACAUAGUCUGUCCAGCCACAGGCCCUUCUCCCCAGCCACUUGGCCCCACCCAAAGACCAAACAGUUUCCUGUUCCGUUCAUCUUCUCAGAGCAGCUCAGCUUCCUCUCCAGGCCCAUUUUCAUCAGAACCUGUUCUGAGACCACGACAGUCCCCCCAGACAAUUGAGAAUAAGGAAGAGUUAAUGGCUCAACUCCGACAGGUCCUCGAAUCUUGCCUACAGCAGCCCCUGCCUGAGGAUUUAAGUGAUACUCUGGCUAAUGGAGUUAUCCUAUGUCAGUUAGUCAAUCACCUCCGCCCACGAUCUGUGCCCUUCAUCCAUGUUCCUUCACCUGCUGUGCCAAAACUUAGUGCUCUCAAGGCUCGAAAGAAUGUGGAGAGUUUCUUAGAGGCCUGCCGAAAGAUGGGAGUCCCUGAGGAGUCCCUGUGCCAGCCCCACCACAUCUUAGAAGAGGAGGGAACCCCUGAAAAGGGCCUCCCCAACAUCAUCACUGCUGUCCAUGCCUUGCUGGAGCAGGCAGGGUCACGUGGGCAUCCUUAGGAGAGGGGAUGGGGAGAUACAAGACAUCCAGGAACCCAGUGGCUACCCUUCUCCCUGCACCAGCAAAAAUGGAUGGAUGUCUUUAGGUUACUGCCAUCCACAAAUUCAGUUUAAGGUGGGAUGGGGCAGAGACCUCCAGUCCAUAUUCCUGCCGCUGGACUCUUAGGUGGGUGGGAAGACCUUGGCCUUGGCUGGUACUGUUUCCAGACUCUUCCUGGUGUAGGGGGCAGUGUUUCCUACUGAGAUGCUGGGGCCAACGGAAGAGAUGGUUAAUGACUGGAUUCUGGGGGGAGAGGCAAGGGAAGAGGGCUGUGAUGGAAGCAAGAAGGUAUCUGGACUAAAUCUCUCCACAUCUCAAGCUGUGUCAGGUCCCCCAAUAAAGAAUAGCCAGGAGCCUCCUUGGUUCACUUGGUUAGACUGCCUGGGAAUGAAUACCUGCCUGUGAAACGUUUUUUAAUGCCUGGAGGGCGUCAGAGAGGAGGCUUCCAGUUCUGGCCGCUCUGGUGUAUCUUUUCCUCCGACUAUGUAAUUCCUUCACAUCUCUUAAUUUCGGUCUUUCUCCAUAAUUCCAUCUGCCAGCCUCCCUUUUUCUCGUCUUUUUCUCACCUCCCCUGCCCCAUCUGUGAUGUAUAACGAUUCCCCUGGGGGUUCCCAGAAGGUAAAGGGUCAAGCCCUUGGGCCUGACCUCCAACCUUUGGUCUUCCCGCCUACUUUGCGGCCCUCCAAGCGCCAUUUUCUCAGAUUUCCCCACCCAAAUGGGCGGGUUCCCGUUAGGGGCGUCACGCCCCCCUGCUGAAUUAGCACCUUUUUAGUACUUGCGUACCUGGGAUGCUGCGGUGGGUGGAGGAGGGACCUCCGGACCGUGUCCUUUCCUAGGUAAGAAGGGUCUGGGGGACCUCUGGACCCGGAAGGGACCUACCUCAUGGGAUUCAAGGCAAGCCAAGGAGGGAAGGGGAUUGUUGGCUCCAGGUCAUGGUCUUAGUUAAGUGUGGCAGAAGGGGAGCCAGAAGCAGGAUCUCUAGUCUGAGGGUUACAGUGGGAGCAGGGUGCCCAGAAUGCUGGAGGAAAGAAAGGUCGGGGGGACAUAAGAUGCCCAGGUAGAGGAAGAAUUAUUAAGCAGGACUUCCAUAUGACUGAAAUGGUGAAGAGGAGGUAGUGUGUGUCCGCUCCCCCAGCAUGAUCCCCUCCCUUCCCCUUGGGGAAGGAGAGGAAGGUCUGGAGAAAGACUCCCAGGAUGGACAAGAGGACAAUGGCUUUGGAGAAGAGAAUCCAGGGAAUGCCCCCCAACCAGACAGCCCCCAGCCUGGGUCCCCUGUGGCCUCUCAGCCAAAUGGCAGGCUUCACUUCUCCCAGCUUCCCACCCGGAGCCUCAAAGAGAAGAGUCAGCCAGCUCCUUGGGAGCCAGAUUAUAAGAAAGAAACAGUAUUUGAAAGGGCAGGAAGUUGUGGAUCUAGUAACUCAGUCUCCUACAGAACCAUCUGGCAUCCAUCUUUCUAUGCCCUGUAUGAUGCCCAGGGUCAUGACCCCCAAACACUAGUUCCAUCUGAAAUAGAAGGGAAUCAAGACUACUCCCAGAGGGAUGAAGAGGGGUGAGACUGCUAGAGGCAAUUAAACCAUUACCAUAGUCCUCUCUGAGAGUGUGGAGGCCCUGAAUUAAGGUUGUGGCUGUGAUUGGAUGGAAAGAGUCCAAUGUUUAGUUAAUCUGUGGAAUUAGCCUUCUGAUUGGAUUUGGUUGGAUGAAAGAAGAGUCAAGGAUGACUUUAAGGUUUUCCUGAUCUUGGCUCUGAAGAUUUCUUUUUCUCAGACCCUCUUUUGCCUUCCAUUGCUCGGAUUCCCCUUAAUCUGUCCCAACCUCCCCAACAGGUACUGAGGAGAUGUAGACGGCUUCUUACCCCACCUCCUAUAAUGUCAGUCUGGCCACAGCCUAUCUUGACCUGGCAGAGCGGUCCAGAGAUAACAGCCAUUACCAGCCUACUUGAGAUGAGCCAAGGGGACACUGAAUCAGCCCCCCCCACUUCAGAGGCCAGCUAGCCUAGGGUGGCUCUUUGCCCUGCCCUACUCCCUGCUAUACUCCCUAGAGGCACCCUUUACUCUGGGAGUUCAGUAGAGUAAAGAUACAUACACCCACCCCCCCAGGCUCAUCUGUUGCUCUAGUAGAGUACUGGGAGGGAACUGAAGGCUUCUUUCAGCUCCGGAUGCCACUCCCCAGGGCACCCGCAACCUUUCCUAUGUAUGUAUGUAUGUAUGUAUGUAUGGCUGUGUUGGGCUGAAUAAAGAGGGUAAUGUGUA